AUGAGCCCGACCACGACAACAAGCUUAAGCUCGUGGAUUUGCUCGUGGAUUUGCGGCUUCUUCUCCUUUGUUUCUCUGAUGGAAGACCCGCACUUGCGACACCGCGGCAGCGGCGGAAGCUGUCCAGAGGGUCGUGCCUGCUCACUUGGCAGCAGCGGCAGCUACAAAUCUUCUCUGGCCAAGCUAAUGCAAUUCAUUUUUGCCGGGAACCUUCUUGGCUUGCCUGCCAUUUCUGUUCCUCAAGGCCUUCCUAUCGGCUUGCAACUGAUAGGCCGUCCGUGGGGCGAGGCUAGCUUAUUGAGGGUGGCUUCGGCAGUAGAGGAACACGAGCUCUGGCGGCAACACAAAGAAUUCAGUUAA
rnacentral:rRNA from 1 species